rnacentral:rRNA from 1 species
CCAAUAGCGUAUAUUAAAGUUGUUGCAGUUAAAAAGCUCGUAGUUGAAUUUCGAGACCGGUUUACUGGUCGUGCUUUUGUACGUACUGGUAUAAUCGGUUUCUCUCUUCUGACGAACUAUAAUGCCAUUAAUUUGGUGUUUUAGGGAAUCAGGACUGUUACUUUGAAAAAAUUAGAGUGUUUAAAGCAGGCUCACGCUUGAAUACAUUAGCAUGGAAUAA